rnacentral:rRNA from 1 species
UACGUAGGUGGCAAGCGUUGUCCGGAUUUAUUGGGUUUAAAGGGUGCGUAGGCGGCUUGAUAAGUCAGUGGUGAAAGCCGAUCGCUUAACGAUCGAACUGCCAUUGAUACUGCCAGGCUUGAGUAUAGUUGAGGUAGGCGGAACGGGUCAUGUAGCGGUGAAAUGCAUAGAUAUGACCCGGAACACCGAUUGCGAAGGCAGCCUACUAAGCAAUUAUUGACGCUGAGGCACGAAAGCGUGGGGAUCAAACAGG